UACGAAGGGUGCAAGCGUUACUCGGAAUUACUGGGCGUAAAGCGUGCGUAGGUGGUUCGUUAAGUCUGAUGUGAAAGCCCUGGGCUCAACCUGGGAAUGGCAUUGGAUACUGGCGACCUAGAGUGCGGUAGAGGGGUGUGGAAUUCCCGGUGUAGCAGUGAAAUGCGUAGAUAUCGGGAGGAACAUCUGUGGCGAAGGCGACUACCUGGCCUGUUUCUUGACGCUGAGGCGCGAAAGCUAGGGGAGCAAACGGG
rnacentral:rRNA from 1 species